UUUUCUUCUGCUGUCAAGAACUGGUUGUGGGAAAAUAUUACACAUGGGGCCCAACAUUUUCUUUUAUUCUUUAUUUUCUAGGAGAGAAGCUGUUAUCUGGGACUGCAGAUGAGCAAUGGGAAACCACUAAGAUAAGUAAACCUGCACUUGUUGUCUGGUUUAUGUUUGUGGGGGUAUCAGUCAUUACAUAAUUAGUGAAAUUCAGCUACAAUUGUUAAGCUGUAUAUUUGAAGCUUGCAUUUAAAAUGGACAUUAAUUAAUAAGAACAGGAGUUAAUUCGCUUAUAUUGUCAAUAUAUAUCUUAACUACCUUCUUUAUGUGCAGGUGUUACUACUACACUAUGACACCAAGGGGAUUAUGGAAAGGAAGGCGUUAAUGACUGUUCUGUGUAUGACUGAUGUGGAAUAGUUAUAGUAUUCUGUGUCACUGAUCUAAAGAAGAUGUACAAGUUUUUGUCUGUUCAGCAGAAAAUGCACUUCUAUAAGAAUAAAAUAAACUGUGUGUUAUGUGCGUUAUAUAUAUCAGCAAAGUACCAAGUAUACACCUGCUGAAAAAUCCUGAUGAGAUUUGUGUUCCUGUUCUACCUGGUUGAAGCUAAUUGGAGUCGUAUCUCAAGUGUCAUUUGAGACUCACUCCUACUGACCCCUGCUCCUAAGUCUUUAGAAAUAAAUGCUUUUAUCAGUGAUAUCAUUUUAAAUAUGCAUUAAACACUAGUUUUGUGAUAUAAAAUGUUUAAUAAUGUGCAAUUAAACAACUUUACAAUA